GGUUCGAUCUUCGGCUCAGAUUGAACGCUGGCGGGAUGCUUUACACAUGCAAGUCGAACGGCAGCACGGACUUCGGUCUGGUGGCGAGUGGCGAGCGGGUGGUAAUGUAUCGGAACAGUGCCUAGUAGCGCUGGGGGAUAACUUCCUGCGAAAGCGUAGCUAAUACGCCGCCCUUCGGGGGGAAAGCGGGAGGACCUUCGGGCCUCACUAUUAGAGCGGCCGAUAUCGGAUUAGCUAGUUGGUGGGGUAACGGCUCACCAAGGCGACGAUCCGUAGCUGGUUUGAGAAGGACGACCAGCCACACUGGGACUGAGACACGGCCCAGACUCCUACAGGAGGCAGCAGUGGGGUACAUGGUGUGGAGAGCACAGUCCAGCCAUCCCGCGCAUUACGUGAAAUAUGGGUUGUAAACACUUUUGGCAGGAAAAAGAAACAGCACCGGGAUAAUACGUGCAGCUGACGUUACCUACCCAGAAUAAGCACCGGCUAAUAUACGUGCCAGCAGCCGCGGUAAUACGUAGUGCAAAGCGUUAAUCGGAAUUACUGGGCGUAAAGCGUGCCAGGUUCGGAAGAAAGAUGUGAAAAUCGAGCUUGCUGGGUUGCGUGCAACUACCGACUACGGUGUCAGGGUGGAAUUUCGCGUGUAGCAGUAAUGCGUAGAAUAUGCGGAAGAGUACCUGUGGCGAAGGCAACCCUCCUGGGAUAACACUGCAAUAGCUCAUGCACGAGACGUGGGGAGCAAACAGGAUUAGAUACCCUGGUAGUCCACGCCCUAAACGAUGUCAACUAGCUGUUGGGGCCUUCGGGCAUGGUAGCGCAGCUAACUGUGGUGAAGUUGACCGCCUGCGGGAGUACGGUCGCAAGAUUAAAACUCAAAGGUGACGGGGACCCGCACAAGCGGUGGAUGAUGUGGAUUAAUUCGAUGCAACGCGAAAAACCUUACCUACCCUUGACAUGUCUGGAAUCCCGAAGAGAUUUGGGGUGCUCGCAAGAGAACCGGAACACAGGUGCUGCAUGGCUGUCGUCAGCUCGUGUCGUGAGAUGUUGGGUUAAGUCCCGCAACGAGCGUGUAAUGGCUGGAUUGCUACGAAAGGGCUCUAAUGGACUGCCCGGUGACAAACCGGAGGAGGUGAGAUGACGUCAAGUCCUCAUGGCCCGCAUAUAAUUGGUGGGCUUCACACGUCGCCACAAUGGUCGGGACAGAGGGUCGCCAGCCUCCGCGAGGGGGAGCAAUCCGAAACCCGAUCGUAGUCGGAUCGCAGUCUGCAACUCGACUGCGUGAAGUCUGGAAUCGCUGGUAAUCGCGGAUCAGCAUGUCGCGGUGAAUACGUUCCCGGGUCUUGUACCCACCACCCGUCACACCAUGGAGUGCGGGUUUUACGAUGAUUAUUUUCGCCGUAGGAGAGGCAUUCUACAUUAGUUCAUGUGACUGGGGUGAAGUCGUAACAACGGGU
rnacentral:rRNA from 1 species